ACAUGAAAUAAAUCUGAAAAUUUAAAACUAGUAAAACAAAUAAUAAUCAACAAACGUAAACGUUAAGUGAAGCCACAAAUUCUAGCUUCAAUUUGCAUUUAGAACAAAAAAGGUUACCAAACACCAAAAAACAGCGUUCAAAAAACUUAAACGCCCUUUUAUCCUGUAUAAAUGAAAAUCAAAUGUGUCCAACAAUUUGUGGUUGCAAUUUUACAUACAUAAAAUUUCUUUUUCUCUUCCAGCUCCUCCAUAUUUUUCUUUUCUUUUACUCUUCUCGCACUCCUCUCUGCCUCUUCAAAAAUAUUUUGUUUUGAAACGUUAAUU